rnacentral:rRNA from 1 species
CCAACAGGGAUUGCCUCAGUAACGGCGAGUGAAGCGGCAAGAGCUCAGAUUUGAAAUCCGGCAUGCUAUGUGUGCCCGAGUUGUAAUCUGGAGAGAGGUCUUCGGCUUAGGCAUCGGUCAAGAUUCCUUGGAAUAGGAUGACACAGAGGGUGAGAAUCCCGUACCUGGCUGACCGCCAACGCCAUGUGAAGCUUCUUCGACGAGUCGAGUUGUUUGGGAAUGCAGCUCUAAAUGGGUGGUAAAUUCCAUCUAAAGCUAAAUAUCUGCGAGAGACCGAUAGCGCACAAGUAGAGUGAUCGAAAGAUGAAAAGCACUUUGAAAAGAGAGUUAAAAAGUACGUGAAAUUGUUGAAAGGGAAGCGCUU